UGACAUCACAUAGUUGGACUCUCUAAAUAAUCUUCUGCUUCCCUUCUUCCUUCACUAUAUUUCACUUUUCGUCUACACUGUAAUUAUUCAUGUGUUUUUCUUUUACAAGGUUGAACUUUAUUUCACCGUUCGAUUUUAUCACUUGAAAUUAGAGAAAAAAACCAAGAACAAGCGGGAAUCACGAUUACCAUCAGGAUAUAUGCGGGAAGUAACAUAGAAAAGGGAGAACUAACUCCUUUUCAGGUUGCCAGAAGAUUAUGUUACUGCUGUUUUCAGGUUGCAAGAUACUCAAAAGAUGGAGCAUCGAUAUACCAUCCAUGAAAUCACGCCAUUUACUAGAGAUUGGACUUGUAAAAUACAAGUUGUUGACAAAAUCCGCCCAAAAAUUAGUAGAGAUCACCGAGUGAACUUUCAAACAACUAUCGUCCAGGACGAAAACGAAGAGCAAAUCUGCAUCAUAACAUAUGGUCCUGAAGUCGUACAUUAUGAUAACCUUUUCAAACAUUUCCACACAUACCUCAUCUCGGCAGCUAAAGUUAGGGAACCGUCACGUUUUGCAAUACCCAUGCACAACUUCGAAUGGGUCCUCGAUACCUUUAGUAUUGUCGAAGAAGUUAUAGAGAACAAUGAAGAAGAAUCAAUGUUACCGUUGCCUUCAAGAUUAAACAUGGUGUCCUUUGCCGAUAUCGAGAAACAGAUUCCAGGAGAUGAAUUCGACCUGGUGGCAGUUGUGGCAAAUUGCAGUACCAUGAAAUAUCAAGGCAACGAAAACAUAAGAUUUUAAGAGGAAAAGGCCUUUUCUGUUUACUAUAUGGAGAGAAUUGGCUGACAAAGAUGAAACUGAACUACUGCAGCAGCUACAUAGAUAUCCUGUCAUUGUUGCAAAAUGAAUAGCUGUUUCUAACUUUAAACAAGAGGUCCGACUAACUACAAGGUUCAACUCCUCAAUCUUAAUCGAUCCUUUGUACCCGCAGGCAGCAAAGUUAAUAAAUUGGGCAAAGGACAACAAGCAGAUGCUAAUUGAAUACACUCUCAAAAGUACAUCAGCAUCACCUUCGACACUAAAUAUUGCACCUUUUGAAGAUCAAAUACUUUCUAUUUCAAGCAUUCCUUCACAGUCCACUGCGCAAAGUUUUUAUGUUGAAGGAGAAAUAUCAUUACCAAGUGAAUUCCAGUUUUUCUUCGUACUUCUAUACUCUGAAUGCCAACAUCUAACACGAAUCAAACGCAAAAAGAAAGUUCUCUGUAUCAACUGCAAGCUAGAGAGAAUGUUGAUUCCAAGGUAAUAACAGCUCUUACUAUUGACAUACUAUGACAAACAAUAUCUAACGGCUAAAACUUUAUGAUUACACAAACACAACAAUGUAUAUGUGAAUUUGAAGUUGAUGUCACAGACAGGAGCGGAACAAUAACAACAGUAGUGUCAGACAAACUAGCUGAAACAAUGCUUUCACUGACAGGAGACCAAAUAUAUGAAACUAUCAUUAUCCAUGUGCAUAUACUGACAACUCUAGAAUCAUUUUGCGUUACUUCAAAUUAAUUUAAAGUCUUCACUUUACUCAUUUUGUGGUAAACUUUUUCCCAAAGAAACAAUUGUUACCCGUUGAGCAUAUCAGAGAGCACCUGCUAGACAAGCUGUUCAAAAUUUAUUUACAAAAAUUACUACUCAGAACACCAGAUAGGCCACCUGGUACCUUUGUCAUUUUAUCUUACACUCAAAAACAGACUGUCUUCGACUUGGCACAAUCUUCAACAUCAACUACUGUUGGCGAGGGAAGUAAAAGGAAGGUACAAUCCAUCACUUCUGAAGAAGCAGAUCGUAGUCCAUUGACAGAAGAUGAAAACCCAAGAAAAAAACCAAACGUACAAUGACCAAGUCCUCUGCAAAAAUACUCAAGGUUAGAAAUUAAUACUUGAUAGACCAUAACAAAAUCAAAGAAAAUGCAGCUAAUAAACAACCGCAAACACAAACAGUAAGUUUAUAUAUAAUAAAAGUUUUGUCGGGUAGAAAGUGAACAACAUUGUUUGUCCAUCCAAGCAUGCAAUCUAACUCUUUGUUAAAUGAUUUAGCAAGAUGACAUUUCCAAAUCUCAAAAGAAUUUCUGUUGUUUGCUUGUACGCCACUUAAUGAACAAUAACAUUUAUUGCUCCCAAUUUUCGUCCAUUAAACUGCUUAUUUUAUUCCCAUUUUGUGUAAAUAGCUACACAAAUUUUCAUGAACUGUUUAUUGUUACCUAUGCAAACUAACUCUUUGAAUAAUCUUGUAAACCCGAAUAGCUCCCAUUAUAUACACAUUUAUAUUUUCGUCAUACCUCCAAAACUUCAAAGCGUUUCAUCAGAACUCUAAUCCAACAGUGAAAAAGGCAAAUCUCAAAAAGUUUUUUUGUUGUCUGCUUUAGUCUACUUAAUGAACAAUUACAUUUAUUGCUCUCAAUUUCUGUCCAUUAAAAAGCUUAUUUUAUGUCAAAAUAGACUUAUGAAUUUUGCUCAUACGGUAAAGCCUAUGUUGCUAUGCAAAAUAAAAUCUGUGUCCAAUGUCUUCACAGUUCUUUGUCCAAAUUACAUAUUCUCAACUACUCUUUUACACUUAACUCCCAAUUUGUUUUUCAUACAUGUGCCUCAUCAGAUUUGAAGUGCAACAAAGGUCGCCUUAAUGUUAUUUGAUAGGCUAUAGCAGUUGUAAUACUUGCAUUCAAGCAAGAUUUUUGUUGUGUUGUCUACUGCAGUACAAUAUUUCACAUUUUCUAUAAAUAGCUACGCAAACUGACUCUUACCAACACAAAUUUUGCUGGUGUUGUUUAUUGCAGUACAAUAUUCCACAUUUUGUAUUUGAAUUAUCUGGUAAAUCCAAGCAGCUCCCAUUAUAUAUGCAUUUAUAUUUUCAACAGUUUACUGUUAGCUACGGAAACUAACUCUUUGAAUUAUCUGGUAAAUCCAAGCAGCUCCCAUUAUAUAUACAUUUAUGUUUUCAGUCAUAC